AGAAUAGGAUUGAGAUUUCAGAUUUUCAAAUCGGUUCCAGAAAAUAUCCGAUAAUGGAUAUAGAAAAAUUAAUAUUCAUAUAGGAUCCAAUAGACUUUCGGUUUGGAUCCGAGUCAGUUCCAGUUUCGGGUUGGUGGAUAAUUACCUUUUAAUGACAAUUACUUUCUAAUAAAAAUAAUAUAUGUAUUUAUAAUGUGCAAAAAAAAAAACAAAUUACAAACAAAUUGAUGUGGUCUAGUGAAAUGAAAUACAAAUAAUGUGAAAAGAAUUACAGAUGAGUGAUUUGGUACCUUAAAUAAGUUAUGGUUUAAACAUGUAUCUGAUAGGUUUGAGUAAGAACCGGAACCGAUACCACGAGUAUUCAUUACAAAUUUACAAUACAUAUCGGAUAAACAGACUAGUUGAGAGUAGGGUGGAUGAGUUCCAAGCCGAGAUCAAAGUGCUAUGAUGUCUAACUUGAAGAUGUAAUG
rnacentral:lncRNA from 1 species